AAUAAUCAAAUUUUUAUUUAUCUAUUUGUAGAUAGAGAAAAAAUGUUGGAAAGUAUUGUUGCACAACAAACAGAAAUAUUGGAACAGCAAAGAGAGAUGUUAAAACGUGUUGGGC